GACAGAGGCCUCAAGCGUUAGGCGGAAUCACUGGGCUUAAAGCGUGUGUAGGCGGAUCGUUAAGUGUCUUGUGAAAUCCCACGGCUCACCCGUGGAACUGCUGGGUCUACUGGCGAUCUUGGGCCAACUAGGGGCAACUGGAACAAGCGGUGGAGCGGUGAAAUGCGUAGAUAUCGCUUGGAACGCCAGGAGUAAAACAGGUUGCUGGGGUUGUGCCGACGCUGAGACACGAAAGCCAGGGGAGCAAACGGG
rnacentral:rRNA from 1 species